rnacentral:lncRNA from 1 species
CUGGGCUGAGUUUGCAGGGCUGCUCCCCUCACCCAACCCCUUCGAGUCCUCCGCGGGCUCCGCCCCACCCGGCCCGUGGGGGAGGUUCCGUCCCGCCGCCUUCGCCCGCGCGCUGCACUCGCGGACGAUCUCUGCUCGCCUUGGGCGCGCCGUGGCGCGCGGGGCCGUGCUGGCGCUGCGGCUCCUCGGCCUGCUCCGCCGUCUGGUGGCCGCCCCGGGCUGACUUUGACUUAGCGAUGCCUUUCCUGAUGGAGGAAACAGUGACCCAGCACCACCUAAUGCCCCCAAACCAAAGCCAGAUCCAAACCCCAACCGACCUGGUUUCACUGGUGACCCAGCACCACCUAAUCCCCCCAAACCAAAGCCAGAUCCAAAUCCCAACUGACCUGGUUUCACUGAUAAGAGCCUCUAACCCUACGGGGUGGUCUCUAUGUUGUUUACCUGGCAGUGAUGUCCGUGUCAUCUGAGAAGAGGAGAUUUCAGGGGCUGACUUUGACUUAGCAGAUGCCUUUCGUGAUGGAGGAAAUAACGACCCAGCACCUCUUAAUUCACCCAAGCUGAAGCCAAAUGCGAACCCUGAGCAGCCUGGAUUCAUUGACGAGCCAGCACCACUGAACCCACCCAAACCAAAGCCAAAUCCAAACCCCAAGCAGCCUGAUUCCACCGGGGAUGACUUUGAUUUCACAGAUGUUUCUUCAUGGUGAACGAAACAAAGCAUCUCCUGGGAAUCACCCCUGACCAAAAGCCCCAGGCACCUCUCCAAGACCCCCUACAGAAGCCUAAACAGCCCUUACAUUCAUUGCCUUUGGACCUACCCGAAGUCAACAAGUUCCAAACUCGUCAGAAACUGGGAGAAGUCUCAGCCCCAAAUCAAUAGCAGCCGUUGUCAGCUCCUCCCAGCUCAAAGUCCCCCAGAGAUCGGUUCCCUGGUCUGAGUCAGGAACGAGAGACUGAAAAGCAUGGGGAUCUGGUGCUUUUUCUUCAUAGGGUUAGUCGCUUUCCCCACCAAAAAACCUACCAACUGAAAGAUCACUGAUUGGAUGGGUCAACCAGCCUCAGCUACCAGAUGUCUUUGAGAUGGGGAGCCAGCCCCCUAAAGCUGAGUCUCUGUGUGUGGCUUCCAAAUACCUGGUCCCCUGGGUGCAGACAGAAGAGAGGACGCAGAGGCUGGACAUCUCCCAGAGGAGGGGGAGACUGGCUGGUCACCAGAUAAUCUUGCUUCCCUCUCUGAUGUCAUAGGAACAUGAACAGACUUGGAGAUGCUGAUUGAAAGUACAUGUCACCUGAAGGAGACAUUGGUUCCAGAGCCAUUAAUUCCUAACCUCCUACCAUACUCUCUGCAUGGUGGAAGAUGCCAGAACAUUCUCAGAGCUUGAGAAAAAAGAGGAAUUGAGAGAAGGGACGGGGGUCAAGAGAUAGAGAAGGUGAGAGGAAUGUGAGAGAAGCAGGGGACGGAGGAGAAGAGAGGAAGGAUAACUCAGAAGCUCAGGUCUAACUUCACCCCACUCCCCUUAGGACCCCCCCACUCUAACUGUUGUUUCUGAGAGUUCCUGGGGGCCACCCAUAAACAAUGAGGUUAAAUGUAAAUGGAAGGGCAGGACUCUGUUGAAGUCUGCAGAAGGUACCCUGUUGGCUGCAUAGUCACCAGCUCUCAUGACCCAAAGAGGAGAGUGAGCAGGUGACUGGAUCAUCAGUGAGGGUAAAUCUGGAAGACAGAAUUGGAGCCAGGUGCAGUGGCUCACAACUGUAACCCCAGCACCUUUGGAGGCCAAGGUAGAAGGAGCACUUGAGCCUCAGGAGUUUGAGACCAGCCUGGGCAACAUAGCCAGACCCUGUCUCUACAAAUAAUUUUUAAAAAUUCAUUGAAGGAUUUCUAAAGACCACUUGAGUGGUUUAUGUCUCCUGGAGUCAGAACCCAGGGAGGAUUUUUGCUGAAAUACCAAAGCCGCAGGGAGCAUGAAUAGAGAUGUUCAGACAGAAAUUAAGUUUGAAGAAAUAGACUUUGGCAGAGAGGCACGUGGCCACAGACAAGAACUCAUCAUGCAUUCAUUCUUUCACUCACUCAGCAAACAUUAAAUGGACUCUGUCUAACUGCAUUUCCCUCUCUUGACAAGAGGGAUACAUCGGAGAGAGACAGGCUGAAGGAAUGUAGAGUUGAUAUUGGACCUGGGAGCUUUCCAAAGGCACUGUGCUCUCCUGUGCCCUUCUUCGCAUCCCAGUCUCUACGAUGUUGACCGUGUUCGUGGGUUUCACAUUGCUGUUGACAUACCAGAAAGAAUAUGCAUGAACCACAGUGACAAAUGUCAUUCAUAAUCAUUUUCAGCACAGAAUAACCUACAGAAAUGUCUUCUGUGUACCUUCCCCUGCAAUAUUUUGUGAUUCUGAUGCAACUGGAGACAAAACAUCUCUUAUCCAUGGCCUCUCUUGAAUCAAUUUUAUCUCCAAUCUGCCUUUUCAUGGGUACUCUAACAAGAAAGCAAACAAGGAAAGUUCAGCUGGUCUAGCAGUUCUGAGACAGCAAAUUAUCUCACUGUUGAUGUGGACAAAGAGCCUCUUGCAGAAAGACUAUACUUAACUCUGAGAAUCUGGGUCCCAGCUUUUUUUUUUUUAAUCCAGAGAGACGUAAAUCUGAAAGAAUCUGAGUCCCAGCCGAGCUGAGAGAGGAGUAAAAUCACGGAGGCAUGCCUCCACUCAGAACACAUCAUUAUCGUGCUUUUAUAUGGAAGGCACAGCCAUUCACUCAUUGUCCGAUAGACGUUUCCAUUGAACGUUGGAUCUCUUCAAACCAAGUGUCUGCAAACAUGAUGGGUUUUGCACUGAUGCUGAGGAUGAAUCCAACAGGAAAGAUACAGAGAAACAUCACAUUGCACCCCAGAGACAUAUGCAAUUAUUGUUUAUUGAUUAAAAAUAUAAUG